rnacentral:rRNA from 1 species
UACGGAGGGGGCUAGCGUUGUUCGGAAUUACUGGGCGUAAAGGGCGCGUAGGCGGCGUGACAAGUCACUUGUGAAAUCUCCGGGCUUAACCCGGAGCGGCCAAGUGAUACUGUCGUGCUAGAGUGCGGAAGGGGCUACUGGAAUUCUCGGUGUAGCGGUGAAAUGCGUAGAUAUCGAGAGGAACACCUGCGGCGAAGGCGGGUAGCUGGGCCGACACUGACGCUGAGGCGCGAAAGCCAGGGGAGCGAACGGG